ensembl:lncRNA
AGAUGACUGGGAGCAGACAUUCUGAAUUUUCUAGCUGCAGGUGACCAACUCCAGAGAUCAUUCCCUCCCUGUCUCCCUUCCAGAGAACAUGGUUUCUUCAGAUGCUCUGAAGAAGCUGCUUAGAGACUAGAUGGUGCAGUCUGCAUACGAGAUGAGGCAACCCUGGAUAUACAUACAGUCUGGGAUUCUGGUUGAUGGAAUGCCUAUUUGCACUUCAGAUUCUUUGGUUGCAGUUCUCUCCCAAACCUAAUUUAUGAUUGAUGGAGAUAAGGAGAACUUAUGAAACAGAGGAGGCAGAAGAGCCUGUAAGGCCACCUGAUAAGGAGGAUGAAGUUGAUGAUGCCUACAAGCAGCUGAAAGUAACGACAGGAUCCUGGGCACUGUUUCUUACGGGGGGACUUUAAUCAUCCUGAUGUUUGUUGGAUAAGCAACAUGGCCAGGCAGACACGGGAUGUGAAGGUUGGAG